rnacentral:tRNA from 1 species
GAGGAUAUAGCUCAAGUGGUAGAGCACAUGCUUAGCAUACACGAGGUCCUGGGUUCAAUUCCUGGUACCUCCU